rnacentral:rRNA from 1 species
CCUACGGGAGGCAGCAGUAGGGAAUCUUUCACAAUGGGCGAAAGCCUGAUGGAGCAACGCCGCGUGCAGGAUGAAGGCCUUCGGGUUGUAAACUGCUUUUAUAAGCGAGAAAUAUGAUGGUAACUUAUGACUACGGAUCGGCUAACUCCGUGCCAGCAGCCGCGGUCAUACGUAGGAUCCGAGCAUUAUCCGGAGUGACUGGGUGUAAAGAGUUGCGUAGGUGGCAUAGUAAGUAGCUAGUGAAAUCUGGUGGCUCAACCAUUCAGACUAUUAGCUAAACUGCUAAGCUCGAGCCCGUUAGGGGUAACUGGAAUUUCUAGUGUAGGAGUGAAAUCCGUAGAUAUUAGAAGGAACACCGAUAGCGUAGGCAGGUUACUGGGACGGGUCUGACACUAAGGCACGAAAGCGUAGGGAGCAAACGGGAUUAGAUACCCGUGUAGUC